UACGUAGGGUGCGAGCGUUAAUCGGAAUUACUGGGCGUAAAGCGUGCGCAGGCGGUGAUGUAAGACAGAUGUGAAAUCCCCGGGCUCAACCUGGGAACUGCAUUUGUGACUGCAUCGCUGGAGUGCGGCAGAGGGGGAUGGAAUUCCGCGUGUAGCAGUGAAAUGCGUAGAUAUGCGGAGGAACACCGAUGGCGAAGGCAAUCCCCUGGGCCUGCACUGACGCUCAUGCACGAAAGCGUGGGGAGCAAGCAGG
rnacentral:rRNA from 1 species